rnacentral:rRNA from 1 species
ACGUAGGAGACAAACGUUAUCCGGUAGUUACUGGGCGUAAAGGGCGUGUAGGUGGUUACGUAAGUCUGGCGUGAAAUUUCUCGGCUUAACCGAGGCAGGUCGUCGGAUACUGCGAGACUAGAGGACGGUAGAGGCGUGUGGAAUUCCGGGUGUAGUGGGUGAAAUGCGUAGAGAUCCGGAGGAACACCAGUGGCGGAAGGCGACACGCUGGGCCGUACCUGACACUGAGGCGCGAUAGCAUGGGGAGCAAACAGGGAUUAAGAAACCCCGAGAG